rnacentral:rRNA from 1 species
AUUGAACGCUGGCGGCAGGCCUAAUACAUGCAAGUCGAGCGAGCGGCGGAGGGGCGAGUAAUGUCUGGGAAACUGCCUGAUGGAGGGGGAUGACUACUGGAAACGGUAGCUAAUACCGCAUACCGCCAGAUCGGCCGAGAUGGGAGUAGCUAGUCGGUGGGGUAAUGGCUCACCUAGGCGACGAUCCCUAGCUGGUCUGAGAGGCUGACCGGCCACACUGGAACUGAGACACGGCCCAGACUCCUACGGGAGGCAGCAGUGGGGAAUAUUGCGCAAUGGGCGAAAGCCUGAUGCAGCCAUGCCGCGUGUGUGAAGAAGGCCUUCGGGUUGUAAAGCACUGUCAUCGAGGAGGCGUUACUCGCAGAAGAAGCACCGGCUAACUACGUGCCAGCAGCCGCGGUAAUUC